rnacentral:rRNA from 1 species
GGGGAAUAUUGGACAAUGGGGGCAACCCUGAUCCAGCAAUGCCGCGUGUGUGAAGAAGGUUUUCGGAUUGUAAAGCACUUUCGACGGGGACGAUGAUGACGGUACCCGUAGAAGAAGCCCCGGCUAACUUCGUGCCAGCAGCCGCGGUAAUACGAAGGGGGCUAGCGUUGCUCGGAAUGACUGGGCGUAAAGGGCGUGUAGGCGGUUUGUACAGUCAGAUGUGAAAUCCCCGGGCUUAACCUGGGAGCUGCAUUUGAUACGUGCAGACUAGAGUGUGAGAGAGGGUUGUGGAAUUCCCAGUGUAGAGGUGAAAUUCGUAGAUAUUGGGGAGAACGCCGGUGGCGAAGGCGGCAACCUGGCUCAUAACUGACGCUGAGGCGCGAAAGCGUGGGGAGCAAACAGGAUUAGAUACCCUGGUAGUCCACGCUGUAAACGAUGUGUGCUAGAUGUUGGGUAACUUAGUUAUUCAGUGUCGCAGUUAACGCGUUAAGCACACCGCCUGGGGAGUACGGCCGCAAGGUUGAAAC